GACGUAGGGCGCGAGCGUUGUCCGGAUUUAUUGGGCGUAAAGAGCUCGUAGGCGGCUUGUCGCGUCGUCCGUGAAAACCCAUGGCUCAACUGUGGGCGUGCGGGCGAUACGGGCAGACUUGAGUUCGGUAGGGGAGACUGGAAUUCCUGGUGUAGCGGUGAAAUGCGCAGAUAUCAGGAGGAACACCGGUGGCGAAGGCGGGUCUCUGGGCCGAUACUGACGCUGAGGAGCGAAAGCGUGGGGAGCGAACAGG
rnacentral:rRNA from 1 species